UGCGGAGUAGAGCAGCAUGGUCAGCUUGCCAGGCUCAUAACCUGGAGGUCGGUGGUUCAAAUCCAUCCUCCGCAUC
rnacentral:tRNA from 1 species